rnacentral:rRNA from 1 species
GGGUCAGGAGGUUGGUCGUGCCACCGGUACGUACUGGUCUCACUGAUUCCUCCUUCCUGAAGAACCGUAAUGCCAUUAAUUUGGUGUUGCGGGGAAACAGGACUGUUACUUUGAAAAAAUUAGAGUGUUUAAAGCAAGCUAACGCUUGGAUACAUUAGCAUGGAAUAAUGAAAUAGGACGAUCGAUCCUAUUUUGUUGGUUUCUAGGAUUGACGUA